rnacentral:rRNA from 1 species
CACGUAGGGUGCGAGCGUUGUCCGGAAUUAUUGGGCGUAAAGAGCUCGUAGGCGGUGUGUCGCGUCGGCCGUGAAAACCUGCAGCUUAACUGUGGGCUUGCGGUCGAUACGGGCAUCACUGGAGUUCGGCAGGGGAGACUGGAAUUCCUGGUGUAGCGGUGAAAUGCGCAGAUAUCAGGAGGAACACCGGUGGCGAAGGCGGGUCUCUGGGGCCGAUGACUGACGCUGAGGAGCGAAAGCGUGGGGAGCGAACGGG